AUAAAAGUCACUUGGGGAUCCUGUUAAAAUGAUGAUUUGAUUCACUAGGUCUGGACCUGAAAUUCUGCAUUUUUAACAAGAUGCCAGGUGACACCAAU
rnacentral:miRNA from 1 species